UACGGGGGGGGGCAAGCGUUGUUCGGAAUUACUGGGCGUAAAGGGCUCGUAGGCGGCCAACUAAGUCGGAUGUGAAAUCCCCAGGCUCAACCUGGGAACUGCAUCCGAUACUGGAUGGCUUGAAUUCGGGAGAGGGAUGCAGAAUCCAGUGUGAGCGGUGAAAUGCGUAGAUAUCUGGAGGAACACCGGUGGCGAAGGCGGCAUCCUGGACCGGCAUUGACGCUGAGGCGCGAAAGCCAGGGGAGCAAAGCGGG
rnacentral:rRNA from 1 species